AGCGAACGUUGGCGGCGUGGAUUAGGCCUGCAAGUCGAGCGAGAAAGUCCCCGCAAGGGGACGAGUAAAGCGGCGAAAGGGUGAGUAAUGCAUGGAUAACCUGCCCGCAAGAGUGGGAUAACCCUGCGAAAGCGGGGCUAAUACCAUAUAAGGCCAUUAGGAGAUAUCUCCUUAGGGUUAAAGGUGGGGAUUCUUCGGAACCUGCCGCUUGCGGAGGGGUCUAUGUCCUAUCAGCUAGUUGGUGAGGUAAUGGCUCACCAAGGCGACGACGGGUAGCCGGGCUGAGAGGCUGACCGGCCACACUGGCACUGAGACACUGGCCAGACUCCUACGGGAGGCUGCAGUCGAGAAUCUUCCGCAAUGGGCGAAAGCCUGACGGAGCGACGCCGCGUGGAGGAUGAAGGCUUUCGGGUCGUAAACUCCUGUCAGAGGUUAUGAAAGCGGUCAGUGUGAAUAGUGCUGGCCGUUGACAAAGGCCUCAGAGGAAGCACCGGCUAACUACGUGCCAGCAGCCGCGGUAACACGUAGGGUGCAAACGUUGCUCGGAAUUACUGGGCGUAAAGGGUCUGUAGGCGGCUGGAGAAGUCAGGUGUGAAAGCCCCCGGCUCAACCGGGGAACUGCGCCUGAAACUCUUCGGCUUGAGUGCAGGAGAGGAGAGUGGAACUCUCGGUGGAGCGGUGAAAUGCGUAGAUAUCGAGAGGAACGCCAGUGGCGAAAGCGGCUCUCUGGUCUGCAACUGACGCUGAGGGACGAAAGCUAGGGGAGCAAACGGGAUUAGAUACCCCGGUAGUCCUAGCCCUAAACGAUGGACACUAAGUAGGGGUGGCUCCGACGCCGUCCUUGCUGUAGCUAACGCGUUAAGCGUCCCGCCUGGGGAGUAUGCCCGCAAGGGUAAAACUCAAAAGAAUUGACGGGGGCUCGCACAAGCGGUGGAGUAUGUGGUUCAAUUCGAUGCAACGCGAAGAACCUUACCAGGGCUUGACAUGCACGAAGUAGGUGCCUGAAAAGGUUACCGACCGGUGACCAGUCCGGAGCGUGCACAGGUGCUGCAUGGCUGUCGUCAGCUCGUGUCGUGAGAUGUUGGGUUAAGUCCCGUAACGAGCGAAACCCUUGUCCUUAGUUGCCAGCGGUUCGGCCGGGCACUCUAAGGAGACUGCCGGUGUUAAACCGGAGGAAGGUGGGGACGACGUCAAGUCAUCAUGGCCCUUAUGUCCUGGGCGACACACGUACUACAAUGGCCGGUACAAAGGGAAGCGAAACCGCGAGGCGGAGCAAAUCCCAAAAAACCGGCCCCAGUUCGGAUCGAAGGCUGCAAUUCGCCUUCGUGAAGGUGGAAUCGCUAGUAAUCGCGGAUCAGCCAUGCCGCGGUGAAUGUGUUCCCGAGCCUUGUACACACCGCCCGUCAAGCCACGAGAGCUGGCAGUGCCCGAAGUCCGUAGCCUAACCGUGAGUAAUCGGGGAGGGAGCGGCCGAAGGUAAGGCCAGUG
rnacentral:rRNA from 1 species